CACUGAUAUGAAGAGCUUGCUCGGAUUUGAAGAUGAACAUUGCAAAGAGUGGCGAACGGGUGAGUAACACGUGGGAAACCUACCUCUUAGCGGGGGAUAACACUUGGAAACAAGUGCUAAUACCGCAUAAUACUGAUAACCGCAUGGUUAUCAGUUGAAAGAUGGUUCUGCUAUCACUAAGAGAUGGUCCCGCGGUGUAUUAGCUAGUUGGUAAGGUAAUGGCUUACCAAGGCAAUGAUACAUAGCCGAGUUGAGAGACUGAUCGGCCACAAUGGGACUGAGACACGGCCCAUACUCCUACGGGAGGCAGCAGUAGGGAAUCUUCCACAAUGGACGAAAGUCUGAUGGAGCAACGCCGCGUGUGUGAUGAAGGGUUUCGGCUCGUAAAACACUGUUGUAAGAGAAGAAUGACAUUGAGAGUAACUGUUCAGUGUGUGACGGUAUCUUACCAGAAAGGAACGGCUAAAUACGUGCCAGCAGCCGCGGUAAUACGUAUGUUCCAAGCGUUAUCCGGAUUUAUUGGGCGUAAAGCGAGCGCAGACGGUUGUUUAAGUCUGAAGUGAAAGCCCACAGCUUAACUGUGGAAGUGCUUUGGAAACUGGAUAACUUGAGUGCAGUAGAGGAGAGUGGAAC
rnacentral:rRNA from 1 species